GCGCUGUCAGGGGGGUGGCGGGAACGGCUCCCUCUCUCUCCCUCCAUCUGAGCUGUGUUCCGGUACUGGCGGAGGCCUUUGCCUUUGACUCGGCGACUGCUUGGAAGCUGAUGGUAGUGUGAAGAAGCUGAAAUGACAGUACGGUCAAGUGACGAACUACCACCGCUCGCGAAACGUUCAGAUUUAAAGGAUCAUAGCAGCUGUCAUAAACGGGAAUGGUCACGUCAACUGCUCAAGAGGACAAUGCAGGAAGGCCAGAAGUCGAAAUAUGCCUCUGGG